GAUGAACGCUAGCUACAGGCUUAACACAUGCAAGUCGAGGGGCAGCAUGAACUUAGCUUGCUAAGUUUGAUGGCGACCGGCGCACGGGUGAGUAACACGUAUCCAACCUGCCGAUGACUCGGGGAUAGCCUUUCGAAAGAAAGAUUAAUACCCGAUGGCAUAGUUCUUCCGCAUGGUAGAACUUUUAAAGAAUUUCGGUCAUCGAUGGGGAUGCGUUCCAUUAGGUUGUUGGCGGGGUAACGGCCCACCAAGCCUUCGCUGGAUAGGGGUUCUGAGAGGAAGGUCCCCCACAUUGGAACUGAGACACGGUCCAAACUCCUACGGGAGGCAGCAGUGAGGAAUAUUGGGCAAUGGACGAGAGUCUGAACCAGCCAAGUAGCGUGAAGGAUGACUGCCCUAUGGGUUGUAAACUUCUUUUAUACGGGAAUAAAGUGAGGCACGUGUGCCUUUUUGUAUGUACCGUAUGAAUAAGGAUCGGCUAACUCCGUG
rnacentral:rRNA from 1 species